GCUCUGUGCACCCUGGGGGCCGCUGAACCAACGAUGUGACCUCGGGCGAGUCACUUCACCUCCCCGCGCCUGUUUUUCCAUCUGCAAACCGGGGCUAAUUACAGUGCUUGCCUUCUAGGGCUGUUGGGAGGAUUAAACAAGUUCAUGACGAGACAAGAAAGAACCGUCUGGGAAGCUGCGCCCGCUGCAGGAGAGCAGGGACGUGCCUGCCUGGAGAGCUGCGGGAGGAACCAUCAGCAGCGAAGGUCCGCAGGUCCUGCCUGGCCCCGCCUCCAGCAGCGCCCCUCAGUGAACACAGUGUCGGUCCGCAGACGCAGCUUCCCGGAGAAGUCCUGGCAUCUUGUCACCUCCCCUCAGUGACCCCAUGGCAGGUCCCGAUUGCCUGAGUGCAGCCAACAAGUUAGAGGGACAUUCAAGAUGCCUGGGAACCCGGCCCCACCUGAGUGCUCCCGCCUUUCCCAAGCCAGUGCCAGCCGGGUUCCGCAGGCCUCCGGAAGCCUUCCUGUCCCCCACUGAUCUGAGCUACCCCCACUGUCAUCUGCCGCCCCUCCUAUCAUC